rnacentral:lncRNA from 1 species
GUAUUAAAAAGAAGAAAUAAUUAAUGAGUGAAGUUGGAAUGAGUCAUGGUAUUGAUAUAAAAAUAUACAAGGAUGAAGAUGAGGUUGGUAAAUAUUUUAAGCAAUUAUUAAGUAAAAGAAAUGGUUAUAAUCAAUAAGUACAUUUUGAAGAUUGUAGUAACAAAGAAAUAGAAGCUUCAAGCCAUUAUAUUCAAAAUUAUUUUACAAAUGCAACUGUAGAAGUAUUGGUGAAGGUAGAAAAUAUAGAAGAACCACUUGUUACUUUAAUUGUUUACAAUUUUAAAAUAAAUCUUAUAUCUAGGGAUCUUUAUAAGAAGUACAUGUGGCCAAUUGAUAUGGAGCAUGGAUGAAUAAUGUAAGUAGCUAAUGACACAUGAAGUGAAUUAUAUGGAGCUUGUCUAGAUAUUAAAAUCCAAUUGGAAAUGUUAUAAUAGAGCAAUAUUUCUUUGUUCAAGAUACAACAUCUUAUCCAUUGAUUUAAAGACAACCAUAAAUUAUGGAAAUACAAAUAGAAAAAAUAGAGUUUGAUGAUAGUUUAUCCUAUAUAUAGAUACAUAAUAAAGAUAAAAAAAAAUCGUAUAAUUUCUAAUUGUGCCUCCUAAUCAUGAAUGAAAUUGAGAUAGGUUGAAAAAAAAGUCAUUGUUAAGAAUUGUUGAAGGAUUUAAGAAUUUUAAGGAAAUACUAUUAUAAAGAAAAAUUAUAAAGAUACAAAAGAGAAGAUACUCUUGCAAGAUGUAGGUGCCUUUGAUGCAAGUUUUAUUAGAAAAUUUAAAUAUAGAAAUAUUAUAUACAAAAAAUUUAAAGAUUUAAAAAAAAAAAGAAAAAGAAUAUAUAAUAUUAAAAAAAAAUAUGUAGGUUAAACAUAUUAAAAGAUGAUGAGAGUAUUUUAGGUAUUUAUGAAAAAGAUGGAUCGGGAGAUUCUUUGAAUUUCAUUACAUCUAUUGAAUUAGAAGAUGAUUAUAUGAUUGUGGAAAUUCAUUCUAAGAAAGUUUAUUCUAUACUUGAAUCUUUUCAAAUACGUAAAGUUAUUCUAGAGACAAAAUAUAAAACCAUAGACAAGAAGAUAAAACCAACUCUUGCACCUUUACAAAAUAGAAUGUUAGUUGGAAGAAUAGAUCUUUUGUAGAAUUGUUCUUGAGAAGGGAUUUUAAACUAUAUAUCUUUUUUUUAGAUUAGCCAAUAAAAAAUUAGGAUUUUUAAUAAUAGUCUUAUCUCCAUUGUGUGUUUAAUAGAGCUAAAAUUUAAAUAGAAUAUUUAAUACAAAUAAAUCUAAAAAUAAUAUAAAAAAUAAGAUAAAUAUAUAUAUAUAUAUAUAAAUA